ACUCCUACGGGAGGCAGCAGUAGGGAAUCUUCCGCAAUGGACGAAAGUCUGACGGAGCAACGCCGCGUGAACGAAGAAGGCCUUCGGGUCGUAAAGUUCUGUUGUUAGGGAAGAACAAGUACCAGAGUAACUGCUGGUACCUUGACGGUACCUAACCAGAAAGCCACGGCUAACUACGUGCCAGCAGCCGCGGUAAUACGUAGGUGGCAAGCGUUGUCCGGAAUUAUUGGGCGUAAAGCGCGCGCAGGUGGUUCCUUAAGUCUGAUGUGAAAGCCCACGGCUCAACCGUGGAGGGUCAUUGGAAACUGGGGAACUUGAGUGCAGAAGAGGAAAGUGGAAUUCCAAGUGUAGCGGUGAAAUGCGUAGAGAUUUGGAGGAACACCAGUGGCGAAGGCGACUUUCUGGUCUGUAACUGACACUGAGGCGCGAAAGCGUGGGGAGCAAACAGGAUUAGAUACCCUGGUAGUCCACGCCGUAAACGAUGAGUGCUAAGUGUUAGAGGGUUUCCGCCCUUUAGUGCUGCAGCUAACGCAUUAAGCACUCCGCCUGGGGAGUACGGCCGCAAGGCUGAAACUCAAAGGAAUUGACGG
rnacentral:rRNA from 2 species